rnacentral:rRNA from 1 species
GGUUGCGAUCAUACCAGCACUAAUGCACCGGAUCCCAUCAGAACUCCGCAGUUAAUCGUGCUUGGGCGAGAGUAGUACUAGGAUGGGUGACCCCCUGGGAAGUCCUCGUGUUGCAACCC